AGCGUACUUUUUUACUCAUUAUCCACUCUAUUAAGAGAGUAUUUGUUUAAGUGAGUAGUAAGUGUUGUAUACACUUGUUGCAAGAAGAAAGGGUAUAUUUCUUCUUGAGAAGUCUUGGGGUGAGGUUUCCUCGAGCAGGGUUUCUUGAGGCUUAUGUGACUUUAGUUCUCAAGUGUAAAGGUUUGUUAGGUACCCAGAAACUUAACAGAAGUCUUGAGGUGCGGUAUCCUUAAGCAGUGUAACGGUUUGUUAAGCACCCGCAAGCUUAACGGAGAUAGUAGAACCUUGAGUUGUUGCUCAAGAGACUGGACUUAGCCACAGGUUGUGGUGAACGCAAGCUUAACGGAGAUAGUAGAACCUUGAGUUGUUGCUCAAGAGACUGGACUUAGCCACGGGUUGUGGUGAACCAGUAUACGUUGUGGUGCACUCUCUCCUUACUCUUUAGUUUCCGCAUUUGAGUUUUAAAUUCCUGUG
rnacentral:lncRNA from 1 species